CCUGCCCUUUACUCGGGGAUAGCCUUUCGAAAGAAAGAUUAAUACCCGAUAGCAUAAUGAUUCCGCAUGGUUUCAUUAUUAAAGGAUUCCGGUAAAGGAUGGGGAUGCGUUCCAUUAGGUUGUUGGUGAGGUAACGGCCCACCAAGCCUUCGAUGGAUAGGGGUUCUGAGAGGAAGGUCCCCCACAUUGGAACUGAGACACGGUCCAAACUCCUACGGGAGGCAGCAGUGAGGAAUAUUGGUCAAUGGGCGUUAGCCUGAACCAGCCAAGUAGCGUGAAGGAUGAAGGCUCUAUGGGUCGUAAACUUCUUUUAUAUAAGAAUAAAGUGCAGUAUGUAUACUGUUUUGUAUGUAUUAUAUGAAUAAGGAUCGGCUAACUCCGUGCCAGCAGCCGCGGUAAUACGGAGGAUCCGAGCGUUAUCCGGAUUUAUUGGGUUUAAAGGGAGCGUAGGUGGACUGGUAAGUCAGUUGUGAAAGUUUGCGGCUCAACCGUAAAAUUGCAGUUGAUACUGUCAGUCUUGAGUACAGUAGAGGUGGGCGGAAUUCGUGGUGUAGCGGUGAAAUGCUUAGAUAUCACGAAGAACUCCGAUUGCGAAGGCAGCUCACUGGACUGCAACUGACACUGAUGCUCGAAAGUGUGGGUAUCAAACAGGAUUAGAUACCCUGGUAGUCCACACAGUAAACGAUGAAUACUCGCUGUUUGCGAUAUACAGUAAGCGGCCAAGCGAAAGCAUUAAGUAUUCCACCUGGGGAGUACGCCGGCAACGGUGAAACUCAAAGGAAUUGACGGGGGCCCGCACAAGCGGAGGAACAUGUGGUUUAAUUCGAUGAUACGCGAGGAACCUUACCCGGGCUUAAAUUGCAGUGGAAUGAUGUGGAAACAUGUCAGUGUGCAAUCACCACUGUGAAGGUGCUGCAUGGUUGUCGUCAGCUCGUGCCGUGAGGUGUCGGCUUAAGUGCCAUAACGAGCGCAACCCUUAUCUUUAGUUACUAACAGGUUAUGCUGAGGACUCUGGAGAGACUGCCGUCGUAAGAUGUGAGGAAGGUGGGGAUGACGUCAAAUCAGCACGGCCCUUACGUCCGGGGCUACACACGUGUUACAAUGGGGGGUACAGAAGGCAGCUAGCGGGUGACCGUAUGCUAAUCCCAAAAGCCUCUCUCAGUUCGGAUCGAAGUCUGCAACCCGACUUCGUGAAGCUGGAUUCGCUAGUAAUCGCGCAUCNNNCACGGCGCGGUGAAUACGUUCCCGGGCC
rnacentral:rRNA from 1 species